UCAUGGAUUUUAGAGAUUAGGGCUUGAGAUUUUGAUGGAGAGCAAGAGGAAGAUGGUUUUGAUCAAGGAUGUACUGAGAGAAUGUGUUUGUCCUAAAAUUUGAGGUAGAAAUCUAAGAUUUUUGGAUGAUUAAGGGGAUGGAUUUGUGGGAUUGUGGCUGGUGGAGAGCUUGGAGAAGGAUUUCAGUAUGGGAUGAGAAGAGAAGGAAGAAGCAUAGUACUUGAGUCACCCCAGUUAGGUUUUAAGAGAGAAAU
rnacentral:lncRNA from 1 species